AUGAAAAAAGGCUUCCGCGAAAAAACUGGAGCGGGCAGACACUCGAUCCCGUCGAGACCAUCGAUUGUGGGGAGAGGCAGUUAGCCAGCUCUGUUUUGAAGCGUGAAAACUCACCUUUUGUGAACCGUACAUAUUUUCCACGUCGUAUUUUCAAAAGUCUAAAGUAAAAGUUGAUCUUAUUCAUUUCACGAAUAUGAAAAAA
rnacentral:misc_RNA from 1 species